UACGUAGGGUGCAAGCGUUAAUCGGAAUUACUGGGCGUAAAGCGUGCGCAGGCGGUUCGUUAAGUUCGUUGUGAAAGCCCCGGGCUCAACCUGGGAAUGGCAAUGGAAACUGGCGGGCUUGGAGUGCGGCAGAGGGGGGUGGAAUUCCGCGUGUAGCAGUGAAAUGCGUAGAGAUGCGGAGGAACACCGAUGGCGAAGGCAGCCCCCUGGGCCGACACUGACGCUCAGGCACGAAAGCGUGGGGAGCAAACAGG
rnacentral:rRNA from 1 species